CAUGCAAGUCGAACGAUGAACCUCGCUUGCGGGGGGAUUAGUGGCGAACGGGUGAGUAACACGUGAGUAACCUGCCCUUAACUCUGGGAUAAGCCUUGGAAACGAGGUCUAAUACUGGAUAUUGACUUUACCUCGCAUGGGGUUUUGUUGAAAGAUUUAUUGGUUUUGGAUGGACUCGCGGCCUAUCAGCUUGUUGGUGAGGUAAUGGCUCACCAAGGCGACGACGGGUAGCCGGCCUGAGAGGGUGACCGGCCACACUGGGACUGAGACACGGCCCAGACUCCUACGGGAGGCAGCAGUGGGGAAUAUUGCACAAUGGGCGAAAGCCUGAUGCAGCGACGCCGCGUGAGGGAUGACGGCCUUCGGGUUGUAAACCUCUUUCAGUAGGGAACAAGGCCAGCAUUUUUGUUGGUUGAGGGUACUUGCAGAAGAAGCGCCGGCUAACUACGUGCCAGCAGCCGCGGUAAUACGUAGGGCGCAAGCGUUAUCCGGAAUUAUUGGGCGUAAAGAGCUCGUAGGCGGUUUGUCGCGUCUGCCGUGAAAGUCCGGGGCUCAACCCCGGAUCUGCGGUGGGUACGGGCAGACUAGAGUGAUGUAGGGGAGACUGGAAUUCCUGGUGUAGCGGUGAAAUGCGCAGAUAUCAGGAGGAACACCGAUGGCGAAGGCAGGUCUCUGGGCAUUAACUGACGCUGAGGAGCGAAAGCAUGGGGAGCGAACAGGAUUAGAUACCCUGGUAGUCCAUGCCGUAAACGUUGGGCACUAGGUGUGGGGGACAUUCCACGUUUUCCGCGCCGUAGCUAACGCAUUAAGUGCCCCGCCUGGGGAGUACGGCCGCAAGGCUAAAACUCAAAGGAAUUGACGGGGGCCCGCACAAGCGGCGGAGCAUGCGGAUUAAUUCGAUGCAACGCGAAGAACCUUACCAAGGCUUGACAUGAACCGGAAAUACCUGGAAACAGGUGCCCCGCUUGCGGUCGGUUUACAGGUGGUGCAUGGUUGUCGUCAGCUCGUGUCGUGAGAUGUUGGGUUAAGUCCCGCAACGAGCGCAACCCUCGUUCUAUGUUGCCAGCACGUUAUGG
rnacentral:rRNA from 1 species